CAAAAAUUGUCGUAUAGGGAUGUUUAAAAAAGUAUUUUACAGGUAGUACUCGUGAACUGAAAACAGACAUUCUUGAAAUUGAUGCUAUACAAAUUUUACUAGAAGACGUUGUUACGCUUGGGCAAUAAGAUUGAAGUUUCGGUACUGAGAUAUCUAAACUAGCAGUGACAUGUUAAUAAGAAAUGAGUUAAUAAGAAAGGAGAACUAAAAAUGGCGCAUGCGAAUACUUAUAUUUUAGUGCCUUGCAUCCACUCCACCUCUCCUUAUCCAAGAGACGCACGACUUUCCAUGCGAAGCAAGAUCUACCUAAAUGCAAAGUAAAAUACAAAUUUUUUUUUAUUUCCCGA